rfam:Asian citrus Psyllid, Diaphorina citri - Florida Strain, whole genome shotgun sequence.
GCUCUCAUGGCGUAGUGGUCACUGCGCUCGCCUUGCACGCGGGAGACCCGGGUUCGAUUCCCGGCGGGG